CCUACGGGAGGCAGCAGUGGGGGAUAUUGCACAAUGGGGGAAACCCUGAUGCAGCGACGCCGCGUGAGUGAAGAAGUAUUUCGGUAUGUAAAGCUCUAUCAGCAGGGAAGAAAAUGACAGUACCUGACCAAGAAGCCCCGGCUAACUACGUGCCAGCAGCCGCGGUAAUACGUAGGGGGCAAGCGUUAUCCGGAUUUACUGGGUGUAAAGGGAGCGUAGGCGGGUUAUCAAGUCAGCGGUAAAAUCGUGGAGCUCAACUCCAUCCAGCCGUUGAAACUGAUGAUCUUGAGUGGGCGAGAAGUAUGCGGAAUGCGUGGUGUAGCGGUGAAAUGCAUAGAUAUCACGCAGAACUCCGAUUGCGAAGGCAGCAUACCGGCGCCCGACUGACGCUGAUGCUCGAAAGCGCGGGUAUCGAACAGGAUUAGAUACCCUGGUAGUC
rnacentral:rRNA from 1 species